rnacentral:lncRNA from 1 species
UCACCGUGUUCUUUCUUCACUCAAGUUUCAUGUUCAUGUUUCUAAAUUUGGUGAAAGAAAAGUCUUUCUUCACUUAAGACUUUGUGAACAUUUUAUUUGCAGUAAACAUUGGUAUAUGAGAUUUAUAGGAGGUUGGUGAUAUCUGGAAAUUAUGAACACUGUGUGCCACUGGAUCCUGCACAGAGGUUACAGAGGUCUUGUGUUUAACAGGAAUCUGCUGUAAAGGAGGAUGAAAGAGGGUCACAUCAGGAAAGUUUUCCUGACUCAAAAGUGAUAGGUAGAGGAAUUUCAGAUAUACAUAUUAAAGGAGCAGUGUUAAGAUGAAAGUAAGUGGUAAUAUUAGCUCAUAUUUAAUUAGGACAUAAAACCAG